AUUGAACGCUGGCGGCAGGCCUAACACAUGCAAGUCGAGCGGCAGCGGGAAAGUAGCUUGCUACUUUUGCCGGCGAGCGGCGGACGGGUGAGUAAUGCCUGGGAAAUUGCCCAGUCGAGGGGGAUAACAGUUGGAAACGACUGCUAAUACCGCAUACGCCCUACGGGGGAAAGCAGGGGACCUUCGGGCCUUGCGCGAUUGGAUAUGCCCAGGUGGGAUUAGCUUGUUGGUGAGGUAAUGGCACACCAAGGCGAAGAUCCCUAGCUGGUCUGAGAGGAUGAUCAGCCACACUGGAACUGAGACACGGUCCAGACUCCUACGGGAGGCAGCAGUGGGGAAUAUUGCACAAUGGGGGAAACCCUGAUGCAGCCACGCCGCGUGUGUGAAGAAGGCCUUCGGGUUGUAAAGCACUUUCAGCGAGGAGGAAAGGUUGAUGCCUAAUACGUAUCAACUGUGACGUUACUCGCAGAAGAAGCACCGGCUAACUCCGUGCCAGCCGCCGCAGUAA
rnacentral:rRNA from 1 species